rnacentral:lncRNA from 1 species
AGAACACCAAGGAGCCAGUGCCAUCAUGAUGUGCCAGCUAAAUAAGUUAUCACCAAAAUCCAUACUUGGCUUUUAUAUGAAGCCCACAGCAUGUCUGUCCCCACCAGUUAUGACACUGCAUCCAGCGCUACCUGGGCCAGGGUUCUUCCCUACACAGAUUAUUUGGUUUUGAGGCUGAGAGGCGAGGCC